AGCGCGCGCGCUGGAAGUCUGGGAAGUCGAUGAGGCUGAUUUAAUGAUGUUCACGAGCGUCUGUUUCCUUCCUUUAAUUGAUUCAGUCCGUAUUAAACCCAGGCGAAAGGAGGAGGAGGAGGAGGAGGAGGGGAGGGAAACGAAUCAAUACCAAGCUCCACUGAGGUGCUUUUAAUGAAGAGAGUUAAAUAUAGUUGAUUUGUUUUUUAUUUAUUUGUUUGUUUCUGGCUUUGGGCUACAAACUCAUCAAAUACUGAAGCCCAGCUCUAAUUAUACUCAUUAAUGGGCUUCAGCUGUUUAAGCAGGCAUAACAUUCCUGAGCCGAGACCUGACCACCUGAAGCAACCUGAUUUCAGAGUGCUUCAGCACUAUCCCUCCAUUUUUUUUUUAUUAAUGUGUUGGACCUCUCUGAACCCAAGUCCAAUGAUUUUGUUUCCUUUCCUUAGUUGUUUUAUUUGCUUGAUGCUGACCCCUUCUGAAGC